rnacentral:rRNA from 1 species
UACGUAGGUCCCGAGCGUUGUCCGGAUUUAUUGGGCGUAAAGCGAACGCAGGUGGUUUAUUAAGUCUGGUGUAAAAGGCAGUGGCUCAACCAUUGUAUGCAUUGGAAACUGGUAGACUUGAGUGCAGGAGAGGAGAGUGGAAUUCCAUGUGUAGCGGUGGAAUGCGUAGAUAUAUGGAGGAAUACCGGUGGCGAAAGCGGCUCUCUGGCCUGUAACUGACACUGAGGCUCGAAAGCGUGGGGAGCAAACAGG